rnacentral:rRNA from 1 species
UACAGAGGUCCCAAGCGUUGUUCGGAUUCACUGGGCGUAAAGGGUGCGUAGGUGGUCGGGUAAGUCUGAGGUGAAAUCUCCGAGCUCAACUCGGAAACUGCCUUGGAUACUAUCCGGCUUGAGGGUUGGAGGGGGGACUGGAAUUCUCGGUGUAGCAGUGAAAUGCGUAGAUAUCGAGAGGAACACCAGUGGCGAAGGCGAGUCCCUGGACAACUCCUGACGCUGAGGCACGAAAGCUAGGGGAGCAAACAGG